GGCUGGAUGGCCGAGCGGUCUAAGGCGGUAGACUCAAGUUCUACUCUCGAAAGAGGCGCGCGUUCGAAUCGCGCUCCAGUCA
rnacentral:tRNA from 1 species